rnacentral:rRNA from 1 species
CGGCGUGCCUAACACAUGCAAGUCGAACGGAGUAGAACGCUGAAUUGAAGGUAGCUUGCUACUGGAUUUUCUGUUCUGCUUAGUGGCGGACUGGUGAGUAACACGUAAGCAAUCUGCCUAUCAGAGGGGAACAACAGUUAGAAAUGACUGCUAAUACCGCAUAUGCCUAAGUAACACAUGUUACAAUAGGGAAAGGAGCAAUCCGCUGAUAGAUGAGCUUGCGUCUGAUUAGAUAGUUGGCAGGGUAACGGCCUACCAAGGCGACGAUCAGUAGCCGGCCUGAGAGGGUGAACGGCCACAUUGGGACUGAGACACGGCCCAAACUCCUACGGGAGGCAGCAGUGGGGAAUAUUGCACAAUGGGGGAAACCCUGAUGCAGCGACGCCGCGUGAGCGAUGAAGUAUUUCGGUAUGUAAAGCUCUAUCAGCAGGGAAGAAAAUGACGGUACCUGACUAAGAAGCACCGGCUAAAUACGUG